rnacentral:rRNA from 1 species
GACGAACCGAGCGAACGUUAUUCGGAAUCACUGGGCUUAAAGGGUGCGUAGGCGGGCCCGUUAGUCAGGGGUGAAAUCCCACGGCCCAACCGUGGAAGUGCCUCUGAUACUGCGGGCCUGGAGGGGGAUAGGGGCGUGCGGAACUUCCGGUGGAGCGGUGAAAUGCGUAGAUAUCGGAAGGAACACCGGUGGCGAAAGCGGCGCGCUGGAUCCCUACUGACGCUGAGGCACGAAAGCCAGGGGAGCAAACGGG